UACGUAGGGCGCAAGCGUUAUCCGGAAUUAUUGGGCGUAAAGAGCUCGUAGGCGGUUUGUCGCGUCUGGCGUGAAAGUCCGGGGCUCAACUCCGGAUCUGCGGUGGGUACGGGCAGACUAGAGUGAUGUAGGGGAGACUGGAAUUCCUGGUGUAGCGGUGAAAUGCGCAGAUAUCAGGAGGAACACCGAUGGCGAAGGCAGGUCUCUGGGCAUUAACUGACGCUGAGGAGCGAAAGCAUGGGGAGCGAACAGG
rnacentral:rRNA from 1 species